GAAACUUGGGGGAGUGCACAGAAGAACUUCGGGAGCGCACGCGGGACCAGGGACCAGGCUGAGACUCGGGGCGCCAGUCCGGGCAGGGGCAGCGGGAGCCGGCCGGUUGUCCGAACAGACAGCCUGAAGGGGCGGCGGGGCCGGCUACCUUCAAAACCCAAGCAGCCCCCAGAUGCCUCCCCUGCCAAUCUCCUCACUUCCCUGGUCCGUGCACACCUGGACUCAGGGCCCAGCACUGCCAAACUGGACUACUCCAAGUUCCAGGAGCUAGUGCUGCCCCGCUUUGGGAAGGAAGAUGCUGGGGAUGUACAGCAGUUCUACGACCUGCUCUCCGGUUCUCUGGAGGUCAUCCGCAAGUGGGCGGAGAAGAUCCCUGGCUUUGCUGAGCUGUCACCAGCUGACCAGGACCUGUUGCUGGAGUCGGCCUUCCUGGAGCUCUUCAUCCUCCGCCUGGCAUACAGGUCUAAGCCAGGCGAGGGCAAGCUCAUCUUCUGCUCAGGCCUGGUGCUACACCGGCUGCAGUGUGCCCGUGGCU
rnacentral:sRNA from 1 species